GGGUUUUGAGCGUUUCUACCUCCAUUGAAGCUUGAGGAGCCAUCAAUCAUCGGUUGUGUGACCAUUGGUGAUUGAGACAUUUGGACCGACCGUGAGUGAUCAACCGCUUGAGCAAGCUUUGGAGCUUGAGUAGCUCCUUGGAAUAGGUGUGUUACUUGUAAGUAAUUGUUGAAACCAAAGUUGAUUGGUUGCUGAACCGUUGGUGGUGAACAAAGGUUGAACGGAAGCUUUGAGGUAAG